rnacentral:rRNA from 1 species
CUGGUCAUUAGAGGAAGUAAAAGUCGUAACAAGGUUUUCGUAGGUGAACCUGCGUAAGGAUCAUU